UACGUAGGGGGCAAGGCGUUGUCCGGAUUUAUUGGGCGUAAAGAGCGUGUAGGCGGCCUGAAAGGUCAGCUGUGAAAACUCGAGGCUCAACCUCGAGACGUCGGUUGAAACCAUCUGGCUAGAGUCCGGAAGAGGAGUGUGGAAUUCCCGGUGUAGCGGUGAAAUGCGCAGAUAUCGGGGAAGAACACCCGGUGGCGAAG
rnacentral:rRNA from 1 species